UCGGCUGCUGGUUUUCUUGUAUCAGCAGUCGAAAGGGUACACGGUUCUUGUAUCUUGAAUGUUUUUUGUCAGUUGUGUUUUAUGGUGUAGUUCUGGGCUGCAACAGCAGCUCUCAUCUCUGCUUAUCCAGUCUAAGGGACUGGCACUUCUUCCCAGCAUCUUGAAGGUUUUAAGUUUUGCAGCAGCUUCUCGUAUUUGUGCCGUCUCCGCAUGUUUGCGCCAGGGCUGCCGUCUCGUAAGAGUCCGUGACGUUUGGCUCCUUUUUUUUCUGGGGUGGCAUUAGAGGCUCCUCGCCUCACCACUGCCUCCCCGCAGGUUAUUUUUAUCGUUGCCGUCUCUGAUUUGGAGUUAUUUUUGUUGUGGAGCAUUUUUGGUGUUAUUGCUGUCGGGUCGUCUAUAAUGUUGUGUGGAGCAUCUGUCUAAGCACGUGCGCAUUUGGCUCGGAGCUGCUCUGCCCGGAGGUGUAGAGUUAGGAGCGGGUGGACCGAGCUUUAGGAGUCCACGAUUGAUCUGUGGACAUGUUAUCCUGCGUAGGCAUAGGCUGUGCGGUCAUCUGGGACGGAGUAGCUGUGGGCAGGGGAGCGGACAGUCCGUACCGCAGUGGUUUUUGGGACUCAAUUAGACCUUAUUGUGUGAUUCCUGAAUAGAAAGCAGACCUGUGGAAUGGUCAAGCUGUUGAUGAGCUCCUGGUUACCUUGUUGAAUACCUUGAUUUCAGAUGCAGAGGGACAACUUGGCACGAAAGAGCGACGGAGGAGGCGAGCCGAGCGCCGUAAGCAAGCAGGUGCGAAGCAAAGUGGAAAGCUGGGUAUCGGCAGCGCAGCUCCUCUGGCAAGAUGUUGAAGAGGAACCCAGCGAUGCAGGAAGAUCCCUGUUAGCGCGUGUGGCGUUUUCUUCGUCGAAGAUGGGUUAGGUCCCUCGGCCCUCUGAAAGCUAAGUGGAGGCACGGGGGCUGGGAAGGGGCUGGGAAUCGCAGGGUUGGGGUUAAGUUCUGAUAAGGGCCGUCCAGGAACAGUUCCCCUUGGGUGGGUAAAGUGUCUGGGGACCUUUACAGUGUGAUGCCAGGGUGUGGCGGGCAGGGCAGCUCCAGCCUCUGUCUGCAUUGUGUAGUUUGGGAAGCCUGUCU